UGGUACAUAAGGAUCAACCACAUUCUUUUCUUACAUUUAAAUGUACAUGUUUGUUUGGACUAGUUACACAUUUACAGGGUUCGAAAUGGGAAGGACACAGAGAAGAUCAGUCACUCCCUCUUCCGAAAGCUGCCCUUCAGGUGAAGAAAACCUUGUGACCUCCUCCUUCUCUUUUGCGGGUGCAACUGUCCCCUCUCCCAAACUCCUUGGUACUGGCAGCUCUGUGAUGAGGUUGCAAUGACUGAGACGCUGCACCUUUGAGCUGGAAAUAUCUGAGAUCCUUCGAACAAGCGCCAUUUCUUCCCACUCCCCCCGUGCAAAGAGUGGCAGACACACGUACCUGCUGUGACCACAGCCAUGUCUCCAGGGAGCCCACACUCAGAGUCUCCGGGGCUGUGGUCCGAGCCGGGACAUAGGUGUGCCUGAGCACAGAACAGAGAGAAACAAGCUGGCACGCCUGGGGACAGAGUCUGCCACCUGCCUCACUUUGCCCCCAGAGGGAUGGGGGAUGGCACCCUCUCCCAGGAGGCAUUUCCUUUACCCUGAUUUUACUGGUAUGGUUGGGGGAAGAAAGAGAAGGAUUCAGAGACUUGGGGAAAGGAGGAAGUGGAUUCUUCCUCAAGAAAAUGGGGGAGCCCUUUCCCCAGGGAAGCUGUGAACAUUACCGGUGCUGGAGUGGGUGGCAGUGUGGCAAUGCGGGAGGGGCAGUCUGAAGGCCCAGGGCAGGCACCAGGCUGGCUGGGUCCACACAGCAUCUCGGGUGUGCCUGGAGCCGCAGGGGCUGAAAACUGUGCUGCUUCUGCUUUGGGCAGACAGGGGGCUGCGGGCUUCUUGCCCUGGAGGCUGUGGGAGAGCCCUUUCCCCGGGGGGAGGCAUGACUGGGAUGCCAGGGACUUCAAGGAGAGGUCUGAAGAUGGUGAUAGACCACUACCUUCCGGCCCCUAGAAGAAGCUCCCAGCUACCUGAGGAGAACAAAGAGGUGUAAGCCAUUGUGUCUGGAGGAGCCCCCUCUCGGUUCCAUUCCUAGGAGGCAUCGCGUGUCUCUGCUUGCCUCUCAUGCUGGUCCAAUGUGUCUGAAAGACCAACGAAGCAGAUCUGCACCCAUCCUGCAGCUUGGAGCCAAGCCACUCUGAGCCCAGCCUAGAUCAGGUGGUCCCUAGAUGUCCUCCAGAUGCAUGAGCAAGAACAAAUGAUCGGAGACUUAGUUCCCUGAAUUGAAGGCACACAGCAAAGGGGCAGCUGUUGGAGCCGAUGAUCUGCACCUUGUCCACUUUGAUCUGCGAUGUGCUAAUCUGGAAGGAA
rnacentral:lncRNA from 1 species